AUAGCGGAAGCCGAAAAGCUAAGAGAGUAGGCA
rnacentral:ncRNA from 1 species